UACGUAGGAUCCAAGCGUUGUCCGGAUUUACUGGGUAUAAAGGGUGCGCAGGCGGACUGGUUAGUCUGGGGUGAAAUCUCAUCGCUUAACGGUGAAACUGCCUUAGAUACUGCCAGUCUUGAAUUAGGGAGAGGUUCGUGGAAUUCCGAGUGUAGCAGUGAAAUGUGUAGAUAUUCGGAAGAACACCAGUGGCGAAGGCAGCGAACUGGCCCUUAAUUGACGCUCAGGCACGAAAGCAUGGGGAUCAAACAGG
rnacentral:rRNA from 1 species